ensembl:snoRNA
UAUACCCCUAGAGGCACUUCAGGUGUGUCUUUUGUAUGACAUGUGUGCCAGUGGGUCGCAGAGAGGAGAGAUGCUAUGUCUAUGCUCAGCAUUCUGACCUAUGAACACCUGAAUAAUUAGGAGCCUACCAUC